rnacentral:rRNA from 1 species
GACGAACGCUGGCGGCGCGCCUAACACAUGCAAGUCGAACGAGCGAGAGAGAGCUUGCUUUCUCGAGCGAGUGGCGAACGGGUGAGUAACGCGUGAGGAACCUGCCUCAAAGAGGGGGGACAACAGUUGGAAACGACUGCUAAUACCGCAUAAGCCCACGGUGCCGCAUGGCACAGAGGGAAAAGGAGCAAUCCGCUUUGAGAUGGCCUCGCGUCCGAUUAGCUAGUUGGUGAGGUAAUGGCCCACCAAGGCGACGAUCGGUAGCCGGACUGAGAGGUUGAACGGCCACAUUGGGACUGAGACACGGCCCAGACUCCUACGGGAGGCAGCAGUGGGGAAUAUUGCACAAUGGGGGAAACCCUGAUGCAGCGACGCCGCGUGGAGGAAGAAGGUCUUCGGAUUGUAAACUCCCGU